AUGGUUCACGUCAUUGAAAAUCCACCAAUUCCAUUGACUACACCAAUCUAUGAGGGAAUGAGAGAACAUUCAUCUGUGGAAAUUCAUGGAGAAGUAUUUCAAGGUCCACAGGGAGGAUUCACAGUCGAAUUUCCCACCAAAAAUGGAGUUGCUCUUCAUAUAUCGGUUCGAAUGGGUUCAUAUGGUCAAAAUGUGAUUGUAUUUAAUCAUUUACAAAGAGGAAGAUGGCAUCGAGAAGAACAUCAUCAGAAUACAAUCAUGUUUGGCCGACCAUUUUGUAUGAGAAUUCAUAAUGAGCACAGAAAAUAUUCGGUUGGUUCUUCUAUUGUUCUGUAAUCCACAGGGUCUCAUUUGAGGCAAACUCGGCCGUGUGGAUUUACGAGAUGGUCUCAAAAACGUUCAAAAACUCUCCCGGCUUCUCAUCCAUGUUCGAGUAAUAACGUCGAUCAGAGCCAUAUUCAGUAGACGUUUAAAAAUGAGAAUUUCGCCACAUCUUACACGCAGGGGUCUCGCCACGCGAAGUGACUGUAUAUCGUGUCGAGCUGCUCGUAAAUUGACACGAGCUACAGUAACUCGGUUUCAGCGUGGCGAGACCCAUGCGCGUAAAAUAUGAUGAAAUUCGCAACUGUAGAUGCCUACGUAAUAAAACAAAUUUAGAAGUUCUAAGUAGAUUUUCUUUUUCGUAAAUAUUGUGAAUACAUAUUACCUUUUUGCGUAAAAAAACAAUUUUCAACCCAAAAUCAAGAUAUCGGGUCCUGAAACUUCUCAGCUACCGUACCCACGAGUGUGAAAGACUUUAUGUUAAAACCUAAUUUCUCUAAUUAUUUGAGUUUAGAAUAUCAGAUUAUUGAACACAGAUAGUUUUUUUUUAUUCAAACAAUAUUCUCGUAAAAACAAUCAAUUUAAUUCCAGAUCCACGUGGACGGACAUCACAUCGGACAUUAUCAUCAUCAUAAAUGCCCAAAACGAAUCGUUGCAAUGACUGUUCGAGGAGAUCUUCGAGUUGGAAAAAUUCAUUUCGAAAACUUCAAACAUCAUAACGGAGGAGGUACUGAAAUCGGUGUAAUGCAAAUGCCUGUUGCUCCAACUCCGAUCGUUGUUGCUCAACCACCGCCUCCAAUGAUUGUUCCCCAACCACAGAUUGUUCCGGUUGUUCAGCAAAUUAUGCAACCAAUGGUUCAACCCAUAUAUCCAAGUGUUCAACCAAUCGUGUAUCCAACUGCUACUCCAAUCAUCUAUACUCAACCUGAAGUUAUCUACAUGGACGGUUAUCAUCACCACCGUCACCAUCACUAUUGA